UCCCCAUUUUACACAUGAGGAAAUAGAGGC
rnacentral:piRNA from 1 species